rnacentral:rRNA from 1 species
GAUGAACGCUGGCGGCGUGCCUAAUACAUGCAAGUCGAGCGAACAGACGAGGAGCUUGCUCCUCUGACGUUAGCGGCGGACGGGUGAGUAACACGUGGCUAACCUACCUAUAAGACUGGGAUAACUUCGGGAAACCGGAGCUCAUACCGGAUAAUAUAUUGAACCGCAUGGUUCAAUAGUGAAAGACGGUUUUGCUGUCACUUAUAGAUGGAUCCGCGCCGCAUUAGCUAGUUGGUAAGGUAACGGCUUACCAAGGCAACGAUGCGUAGCCGACCUGAGAGGGUGAGCGGCCACACCGGAACUGAGACACGGUCCAGACUCCGACGGGAGGCAGCAGUAGGGAAUCUUCCGCAAAGGGCGAAAGCCUGACGGAGCAACGCCGCGUGAGUGAUGAAGGUCUUCGGAUCGUAAGACUCUGUUAUUAGGGAAGAACAAAUGUGUAAGUAACUAUGCACGUCUUGACGGUACCUAAUCAGAAAGCCACGGCUAACUACGUG